AGGGACCUUGCCCCAAGGGCUUUCUGUCAGGGCUGAUGGGGGAAGCAAACUCAUCAGGAUGCUGAUGGUGGUGUCAAAUGCAGAAGAUGAGAGAGUAGGGUGAGGAUGAGGGGCAUAGCAGAUCUGCCAGAAGAGGAGUAUUAUUGGAGAUGGAAAAAUUCUAUAAAGAGAAAAUUCCACCUCCUCUACUGUUAGUGGUGAAGCUCACAUAAGAAAGAGCCAGCUGAGAGUCUGUCAAGGGGAGACCCAAAACCAGAGAAACUCCUUUUCUUCUUUGUCUCAAUCACAUCAUUUUCUAGGGACACCAAUUCAUCAAGAAGCAAGAGUUUUGCUGUCAGUUCCUCCUGCAUUCAUUCUUCCUGCUGCCUUGUGAAGAAGGUGCCUUGCUUCCCCUUUGCCUUCCACCAUGAUUGUAAGUUUAACGAGGACUCCCCAGCCAUGCAGAACUGUUCACAACCUUGAAUGGCAUGUUGGCAAUAAAAAGAAGACAAUAAAAAACUACCGAUUUUCUUGAUUUUGUGUUAUUUCUCUAUUUUAUUUUGUGUACAUUUUCUUAUUGGUAGCUGCACCUCCUUCUUACUCUAGUAGAAAUGAA
rnacentral:lncRNA from 1 species